rnacentral:sRNA from 1 species
GCCAGGCACGGUGGUGCAUGCCUAUAAUUCCAGCCGCUCGGGAGGCUGAGGCAGGAGGAUCUCAAGUUCAAAGCCAGGAACUGGGCAAGGCCUUAAGAAACUUAGUGAGACCUGUCUCUA